GAUGAACGCUGGCGGCGUGCCUAAUACAUGCAAGUCGAGCGAACAGACGAGGAGCUUGCUCCUCUGACGUUAGCGGCGGACGGGUGAGUAACACGUGGAUAACCUACCUAUAAGACUGGGAUAACUUCGGGAAACCGGAGCUAAUACCGGAUAAUAUAUUGAACCGCAUGGUUCAAUAGUGAAAGACGGUUUUGCUGUCACUUAUAGAUGGAUCCGCGCCGCAUUAGCUAGUUGGUAAGGUAACGGCUUACCAAGGCAACGAUGCGUAGCCGACCUGAGAGGGUGAUCGGCCACACUGGAACUGAGACACGGUCCAGACUCCUACGGGAGGCAGCAGUAGGGAAUCUUCCGCAAUGGACGAAAGCCUGACGGAGCAACGCCGCGUGAGUGAUGAAGGUCUUCGGAUCGUAAAACUCUGUUAUUAGGGAAGAACAAAUGUGUAAGUAACUAUGCACGUCUUGACGGUACCUAAGCAGAAAGCCACGGCUAACUACGU
rnacentral:rRNA from 1 species